GACGAACGCUGGCGGCGUGCUUAACACAUGCAAGUCGAACGGAAAGGCCCUGCUUUUGUGGGGUGCUCGAGUGGCGAACGGGUGAGUAACACGUGAGUAACCUGCCCUUGACUUUGGGAUAACUUCAGGAAACUGGGGCUAAUACCGGAUAGGAGCUCCUGCUGCAUGGUGGGGGUUGGAAAGUUUCGGCGGUUGGGGAUGGACUCGCGGCUUAUCAGCUUGUUGGUGGGGUAGUGGCUUACCAAGGCUUUGACGGGUAGCCGGCCUGAGAGGGUGACCGGCCACAUUGGGACUGAGAUACGGCCCAGACUCCUACGGGAGGCAGCAGUGGGGAAUAUUGCACAAUGGGCGGAAGCCUGAUGCAGCAACGCCGCGUGCGGGAUGACGGCCUUCGGGUGGUAAACCGCUUUCGCCUGUGACGAAGCGUGAGUGACGGUAAUGGGUAAAGAAGCACCGGCUAACACGUG
rnacentral:rRNA from 1 species